UCCCUGGUGGCUCAGAUGGUAAAGCAUCUGUCUACAAUGCAGGAGACCCAGGUUCAAGCCCUGGUUCGGGAA
rfam:Ovis aries breed Texel chromosome 17, whole genome shotgun sequence.